rfam:Schistosoma rodhaini strain Burundi genome assembly, scaffold: SROB_scaffold0005506
AUGCAGCCGACGAGUCCCAAGCUGGACGAAACACGCGUCCUGAAU